UGUGUGACAUCCUGUAACGGUGCGGAGUAGAAAUAACACACACACAAAAAAAAGGCGCCACAGUUGUGACAGAAACCCCCAUCAAGUUGGCUCAGUCUUUGUCUAAAAAGAAAGAAGAUGUGCAAGAGCUGGGCAAAAUGCAAGGACACCGUAGCAGGGCCGACUGACA